AGACCAUGUGGAGUUCAAACCUUGACACGCUGUUGAAAAACAUUGACGCAGCUGCGGAGAAAGACAAGGAAAAAAAGGAGAAGGAAAAAAAG
rnacentral:ribozyme from 1 species